GCAAGAAUACUGGAGUGGGUUGCCAUUUCUUUCUCCAGGGGAUCUUCCCAACCCAGGGAUCGAACCCAGGUCUCCCGCAUUGCGGGCAGACGCUUUAACCUCUGAGCCACCGAGGUUUAUUAGGUCACUGUUACUAGGAAGGAGGGGAAUGGUCGCUGGCCAACAGGUAAAUGUGUCCACUGGAGGUUUCAUCUGCAUGUCACUUUGUGUAAUUUCUACUUUUACUAUUAAUAGCAUUUCAAGGGAAGCAAAUUCACAAAUUUAGGAGAAUGCCAGAGAUUUCAAUACACCAGAAGUCAAACUAUAUUUUUAAAAUGAAGAAACUCAUCUCUAUAGCUGUAACUUCAUUUUCAUCUAUAGGUUCUCCCUCACCGUUUUUCCCCUCAGUUUCAGCUUAACUGUUGAAGAAGCCUGGUCCUUUGUCCUGUAAAGUUUAAGUGUCUAGAAGACUUUGCGAACUGCAUCUUUUUGGUGUCAUUUCACAUGUUCCUCUAAUGUCUGUAUUCUCGACAAACUGGUAUUCAGAUCCAGAGCUGAGCUGAGAUUCAAGUUUGGCAGAAAUUCUUUGGCAGAAUUCUAUACAGUGCUGUGAACUUUCACCAGGAGGCCAGAAGGCAAAUGUUUACAGGAAAUACUAAAAGCCACCAAGAGACGCAGACAGUAAGAGUUAUACAGGGUUUAAACAAAAGGUGAAGUCAUUUCCAGAGUUGAGAUGAUGGGAGAGUCACAGAGGAAGUAGUUCUAAUGGUGGCCUUUCAGACAGGUAGACCUGCAUGCCAGCAUGGGGGAAGCGGAGGCGUGUGCACGGGGAGAUGCAGCUGAAGUGAGCCAGGAGAAGCGAGGGCUUGUCUGCAAGCGUGUGCCUGCCGAAGAGUCCCCAGGAAGUACAGCGGCGGCCUGGUGGCUUGGAGAUGAGGAAGGGAGUGGAGAGAGGGUGACAGUCCGGCACAUCCUGCUGUGAAGGGGCACUGUCCCUGAGGGCUCCAGAGAGCACAGCUGACGCGGGGCUAGAGCCGUGCAGAGCAAGGUGGCUGAGGGUCUGACCACUCAGGUGGUCCACUGCUUCAGCUCAUAGGCAACUUGAGGAAUACAGCAAUGUGAAAAAAAGACCAGACUGAUGGAGUGAGCUGGGCUUGGUGCCAAAGGGGAACCUCAGCUUUCUUUUCUUGAGACACAGGUAUGUGUCCUGUGUUUGGUGGGGAGGGGGCUUUUCGAAAAAGAAACUUCCAGAGUCUUUCUUUGAAAUACUGACUUAAAUAAAAUGGUUGAAUAAACA